rnacentral:tRNA from 13 species
GCGUCGGUGGUAUAACGGUUAGUAUAGCUGCCUUCCAAGCAGUUGACCCGGCUCGACUCCUGCCGACGGCA